UUCGCCGCUCGCGACGUCUUGAGAAGUCCGCUGAACCUUAUCAUUUAGAGGAAGGAGAAGUCGUAACAAGGUUUCCGUAGGUGAACCUGCGGAAGGAUCAUUGUGGAAAACCUCAUCCAGGACGACCGCGAACGUGUCAACGAGCGCCGUCGGGCCGGGCCGUGCCUCGGACCGACGCAGUGCCCGCCCUCGUGGCGGGGACGAUGGACCAAAACCCCCGGCGCGAUGGGCGCCAAGGAAGCGUGAAACGUGCGUUUCGGCCGGACACCCUUCCGGCCGCGCCGCACCUACCAGGAAAUCGAAUGACUCUCGGCAACGGAUAUCUCGGCCCUCGCAUCGAUGAAGAACGUAGCGAAAUGCGAUACGUGGUGUGAAUUGCAGAAUCCCGCGAACCAUUGAGUUUUUGAACGCAAGUUGCGCCCGAGGCCUUCCGGUCGAGGGCACGCCUGCCUGGGCGUCACGCCACCGACGCUCCGUGCUCCCGCUCAACCCCCACUCGCGGGUGGCGGAGCAGGUGCGGACACUGGUCCCCCGCGCCCUGGGCGCGGUCGGCCGAAGAGCGUGCCGUCGACGGUGGUCGGACACGACGGGUGGUGGAGCCUCGAGCAAGCCGAACGUCGUGCCCCCCCGAGGAGACGCGCUCCGAAGGAUCCCCCAUCCCAGCGUUGACCUUUCGCCUUGGAUCGCGACCCCAGGUCAGGCGGGGCCACCCGCCGAGUUUAAGCAUAUAAAUAAGCGGAGGAGAAGAAACUUACGAGGAUUCCCAUAGUAACGGCGAGCGAACCGGGAUCAGCCCAGCUUGAGAAUCGGGCGGCCGCGCCGUCCGAA
rnacentral:rRNA from 1 species